rnacentral:rRNA from 1 species
GAUGAACGCUGGCGGCGUGCCUAAUACAUGCAAGUCGAGCGAACAGACGAGGAGCUUGCUCCUCUGACGUUAGCGGCGGACGGGUGAGUAACACGUGGAUAACCUACCUAUAAGACUGGGAUAACUUCGGGAAACCGGAGCUAAUACCGGAUAAUAUAUUGAACCGCAUGGUUCAAUAGUGAAAGACGGUUUUGCUGUCACUUAUAGAUGGAUCCGCGCCACAUUAGCUAGUUGGUAAGGUAACGGCUUACCAAGGCAACGAUGCGUAGCCGACCUGAGAGGGUGAUCGGCCACACUGGAACUGAGACACGGUCCAGACUCCUACGGGAGGCAGCAGUAGGGAAUCUUCCGCAAUGGGCGAAAGCCUGACGGAGCAACGCCGCGUGAGUGAUGAAGGUCUUCGGAUCGUAAAACUCUGUUAUUAGGAAGAACAAAUGUGUAAGUAACUAUGCACGUCUUGACGGUACCUAAUCAGAAAGCCACGGCUAACUACGU